GCAUAACUGCGGGGCAGGCGUUUCCUACAGACCCCUUGACCCUAAUUACAUCUUGCCUUGGGUGUCAGACGCAUCUGGGUGAGCAUGCUCACUUCCGGUGAGAAGCCCAAAAGGUUGUUGAGGCACCCACUUGAACCCUGCGGUUCAAGGGCAUUAGGUUAAGCGGCUUUCGCGGUUAUGCU
rfam:Cardiobacterium hominis ATCC 15826 genomic scaffold SCAFFOLD2, whole genome shotgun sequence.